rnacentral:rRNA from 1 species
AAGAAGAGCACAAAGAGCAUAUGGUGGAUGCCUUGACAUCAAAAGGCGAUGAAGGACGUAGCAGCCUGCGAAAAGUCUCGGGGAGGUGGCAAGCAACCUUUGAUCCGGGAAUUUCCGAAUGGGGCAACCCUGCGCGAUGUUGAAUCGCGUAACUCCAACGCAAGUUGGAGAGCAUACUCGGCGAAGUGAAACAUCUCAGUAGCCGAAGGAAAAUAAAUCAAUCGAGAUUCCCCAAGUAGUGGCGAGCGAACGGGGAACAGUCUAAACCUCUUAUCUUUUUAGCGUUUGUAGAAAUUGGUUUCGAUCAGUUUUGAAAGAUGUUAUAAAAGGUGUAGGCCUGAUAGGAUAAGUGGUGUUGCGUGGCGAUUAUAUUAUCUCCCUACGGAGAUUGGUAGAGAAGUAUCUUCCCUAGUAGAAUCACGUGGAAUACGUGGGCCAAAGAAGGUGAAAGCCCUGUACGCGAAAGGGGAUAUAGCUUUACGGUGAUCGUUCACAAGUAUCACCAGACUCGCGAAAUCUGGUGAGAAUCCGGGCCGACUAACGGUCCAAGACUAAAUACUUUUGAUGAUCGAUAGUGGACAAGUACCACGAGGGAAAGGUGAAAAGUAGCCCGGAGAGGGCGAUGAAAUAGUUUCUGAAACCGUAUGCUUACAAUGAGCCGGAGCACUUUUUAGUGUGACGGUAUUCCUAUUGAAGAAUGAGCCUGCG